AAAGUUAUUUAUACCGGAUCAAUAAGCAUUAUUGUCGCGCAUUGCAUUUUUCCUUUUUCAUGUAUGGUUUACAUUAGUAUAAAAUAAAAUAUUUAUAGAAGAUAGGAAAAGAGUUUGAUUAAUUAUCAAGUAAGCUCAAGUUAAGCAAAAAAUGGAGUUGCAGCCGGCGCCGUCAUUAUCAUUUCCGGCUACGCGCGAAGAGGUCUUCGUAAGUCCUUCAAUUUCAAUAGAUUCCGACGGCGCGCGUGUAAAAGGAGUUUCUACUGCUAUGAGAGAAAUGCGAAGGCCAAUACACUUAGCCGCCGUGUUAUGGAGAGGGCUAUGAAUAUGAUAUGGAUAUGGUUAUUUGAACCUGAGAUAUUCGCUUGGAUUAUGGAAUUGUUGAUAGUGAUGCUUUCAACUGAUCAAUGAUUCUUUCAUGUUUAAGUAAGCCGUUGUGGUGGUGACAUUGAGUGGUGCUGCAUUAGGAUUUCAUAGGUGCUUUUGUGAAGGGAUAACGUUUUUUAGAUGAAUUCAGUUAUAUUUGGGUUACGGGAACGUAGGAGCUAUAAACUGGUACCGUUUAUCCAAAAAUGGUCCAGAUUGCAUAUCAUAUUCUGAAGAGCAUCUCAGAUUUAUGGUGACUAUGAAGUCAGUUAGUUUACUAUGACUUGGUUCUUCUUCUUCUUUCAGGUAAUGAUGGAGCUUGCUGCGUGGAGAUGCUCGAGAAGUUGAAAAUGAAGCAAGUUUUAUACAGAAUGAUGAACAACUGUUUUUUUCAUCUUAUAAACCGUAGGGUACACUCUUUAGUAAACUUUCAUUUAUAGUUAUAGUAGUUUCUCUUCUAGCACGCCGCAACUUUUUCCUCCUUCAUUUUUGUCAGGUGAGGCAAAAUGAUUCUGCAUCUACCUCUUUCUCUGCUUUGUGGCAUUUAUUCUCACGUACAUGAACAUCAACUAGUUGCUCUGUAUAAAAAGGGAAUCAGAGAGUCGGAAAUUAGCUGAAAAUAUCUCCAGAAAAUAACAUUAUUCUAACUGAAUGCUUGCUUGAGUUGAAAUCAUUUACUACUAUUUUUGAAUUGGGUGAGACACAUUUAUGAUUUUCUUAUAGGAGAAAUAGGAUUCCUCUGUUCAUUUGGUGAUAAAACUCACUUGGAAAGUUCUUCAGCUUUUCCCAUUCGUUGCAUCAGUAACCACCAGCUGCAACUGUUGAUUUGCUUUCUCGUCAUCUUUUUCGUCAUUCACCUUUAGAUACUGAUUUGGUUUAUCUGUGUCUGCCUCUUUCACCUGUAGAUGUAGCUCUGAUUUCUCGGAAUGAGUUUCCAGAUCCCAUUUCUGAGGUUGUUUUGCACUUCCCCUUUUCCUGUAUAUGCAGUAGAGGAAGAGCUGCAGGAUGCCUAGUGGGCUACCAACCAGAUUUGGAGACUGUAAAAUAAAAUCACAGGAAAUGCAGUCAGAAAAUGUUUUUGUUAUUUAUAUUAGUUGUUUUCCUUACAAAUAGACCUUAUAGUCACACUAACCGCAAGAAAAAGAUCAUGGCUUAACAGUCCAUAUGCCAUCCAUAGCGAACUUGCAAGAAAUGAGAAAAGUGACAGGUAGAACGGCAUAAAUUCCACGCUCUUCGUCUGUAUCACUUUUUUCUGACAUAAUUAGAAUAACUAUAUCAGAAAUAAAAUUUGAGAAGCAAAUGAGUAAUUUUAUCUGACCCUUCCAAGAAGAAUAUCAAAUUUCCCCAUUUUCUGUUUACUGGGCAUAGUAUAAUUGACAAAAGUACUCACCACAGCCACCAGUGGAGAACCAUACAUUGCCACAGAUGCUACCAGUCCUAUACUUCCAACAAACGCCUUGCGAUGAUGGUGAUCAUGGAAUACAAAUGCUGAUAGUAGUACAACUGAACAGGACAGCAGGAGAACAGGUAGAGUCAUCAUGGCCACCUUUUUCUGCAAUUUCAUUAAAGCUAUAUAUUAAUAAUGCUCGUCUUUCCACUACCUGUCAUGCAUGAAAUGUUGCACUUAAUUGAAUUUAGUUCAUGUUAACAGUUAACCAGACCAUACAUUUAUUCUUUCUAAAUACAUCUUCUAUUUGCUAGUGGCAUGAUUUGUAACUUGUCAGUUAAUUCAUGAAAAAGCGGAACUCAUUUUGCAAACAAGCAUGCAAGCUAAGAUUCACAUUUUGCUGCAUAUGAAGUGUAGAUGGUGAAGAAGCCAAAAACAAAAAAAAUAUUGAUAUUACAGGAUGUGAAAUGCUUUAUUAUUUGUGUAAGAUAACUUGCCUUUCCAUCGGUUGAAGCAUAGUAGAAAUAUAUCAGUAUGAAAGAUAUCUCCAGAAGAAUUCCUAGUCCAUUGAUGGUGACCACAGGAAAGUUCUCCCACUUGUAACUUACAACUGGCAAGCCAUACCAAGUGUAGAGGAAACAGUUCAACAGGGCCAUGAUAUAUGGAACGCACGAAUACUCUCCAGUGCUUUUUUUCCUUAUCACCUUAGAGAAAGUGAAUCUGAAAAUUUUAGACGUAGAUCAAGAUCAGACAUAACAUUGUUGCAUAUAUUCCGUUUAUGCAUGAAAACUUAAUUGUUCUAUAGUAACUUCUAAAAGUUUGAGUUUGAUUAAUAUUUUGGAUUAUCGUAAGUUGUGAAAUGGAAUAGAGAGUUUGUAGUUACAUUGGUGCAGCAUAAAGUAGCAUAGAGGCUGCAUUCCCUGCAAGAAAAAUCAAAAGACGUUUAAAACUCAAUGCUACAGAAAGUUUUACAUAUGUAAUGAGAAGGUUGAAGAGUUGGAGGCAGAAAAAGUUUACCCAAAAUGCCUACUGCUAUACGAAAUUUCUCUUCCAUAUUGUUUGAUGCUGAAUAACCAACCUACGAAGUGCUACUGCUGAUUAUUGUUGUUCUGUAGCUUUUUAUAAUCCGAAGAGGUAUAUAUAGUGCAAAGAAAGGAUGAAAGAAGAAUAACCCGCAGACAAUUGUAGCCUUGUAGGAAUAAGAGCAGAGUUGUCUGUAUUCCAGUGAACUUGUGGACUGAAAUAAUCAAUAUCAAAGUGAUGGAAAAAUAAAUAAAUCUGUGUGCUUGUAUCAUUAAAGAAUUAUUUUUGUUUCUUGAUUUUGUUUAAUAUAAAUAUUUUAGAAUAAUUUUAGUAUCUCUUAAUAAUAACGAGGCAGGAAAUAGACUAAACCAGAAAGAUAUAUAAAAGAAUAAGUUCCCAGUCUGGUUCUCUCCUGCAAGUGGAAGAUGUUACAAGACUUCCACUGUCCACUUAUAACAAUUGAGGUAAUCUUUUCAAUUCUAGUUUCCAGAUCUUUCCCUUAAUGGUGAAUAUACAAACCAAAAAAGAAAAGGUUACAAGUUCAUCUCAUCUGCUUUAUGUUCAUUACCAAUAGCAACAGUUGUGUUGAGCAUUUGGUGUGUCGAGAGUACUUUUUUUCAUACAAAUUGGUAGUUUUUCUGUUAAUCAUCAACCUUGCAUGUUUAACUGUCUCGCAACUCUUUAAGGUCAACACAUUGAUUCUAACCUUCUAUGUGAAACUAUAAUGUUAGUUUGGAGUAUCUUGUAAACCCUUAGGCAAAUAUGUGAAAGAAGAAAGUAACGCAGAAGAAGGGUUCUGGCUUAAAAAUAUAUGGUAUAUUGUACUGGACUACUUACAUUGAUAAAGAAUCUCUAAUUAUUUAAUGCUAUUUAAUGUUAGACAUGUUUAGCAAUCAACAUGGCUUCAUCUUCAAGACGACUGCUUCAUGACUCUUGUAAGUUUGUGUUGUUUGAGUGAUCACUGAUCAGGAGUUAUAGAACUGCCUUUCUGUAACAUUACUUUCAUAAUUUUCAAUAAUUUAUGUCAAGAUUUUUUACAUCGUACUGAUCAAAUAAUCAAAACUGAAACAAAUAAUAAAGAAAAUGCCAUAUUGCAAUGAACUACAAACUUUAAUCUUAAAACAUAAAAUUCAUGCAGAUAACUCAUUCAAAUAGUUGAAAAGAAAAGGCAACCUAGAAUCUAACACAGUAGUUAGUUUUGCCAAUCUGACUUCAAAGAUUAAGUGGUUCUUCUGAGGUCUUUUAAAUUUGCAAAUUCAGGGCAUCUAAAAAAGAAAAAGAAAAAAACAAAUUAAUAGGAAGAAUAUGUACUUGGAGAAAUGGCUGGGAGUCAAAUCUCUUAUGCAUGCAGAUGUAAAUCUGUUUCUCAGCAUUUGGAAAAGGCAGCUCCUGAUGAAAAAGGCCACUUUUAUGAUGGUGAGCUCACAUUUCCUUUUUGUUGUCUUCCAUUGUUUCUGCUAUCCACUAAAAAUUCUAUACACUUUGCCACAGUGGGAACUUAAUGCUUUAUUCUAUACAUUAAAUGAAUGUUAUUAUUUCCACCUUAUUAUCCCAAUAAACUUGUUUUUGAUGAUGCUUGCAUGUGAAGAGGGUAUCAUAACGUUGAUCGAUAUUCAACACACAUGGGACACACAAGAAUUUGGUUCUAAUUACAAAUUUCACCAAUCAAUGGUUCAAAGACUAUCGGACAUAUAUUCUCAAAUUUGACAGUCAUGAUGCAUGGUUGUGAGGUGAAGUUGUUGAAAACGUUAUUUUCUGACUAUUUGCUAAAGAAUGUUGGCUAUAUGCUGAUGCUCAUGGGAUGUAGCAAUGAGCACGUUGUCUAUAUUUCAGUAUUAUUGUUAUGUUUGUGUUCAAUAUGAGGUAUUAUACUCUAUCUGUGAUUCUCUAGAAUAUGCUUAUCGUCUAUGUUUGUUCGAUUCAACUAGAUUUACUAACUUUACACUCGAUUUGAACUAUUAGACAGGCUAUUGGCCAAAAGGAGAUCAAAUCAGCAGUCAAAUUUCUUCUUAUUUUCCACUUAUUCUUUCUUGAGAAGACUUCAAUCAGAGGAGAUCUAUCGAUUGUGUCCAAAAUAGACCAAUUUUUUCUCUAACAAAUGUUAAAAGUGUUUUGGUUGUGAAAUAAUCACUUCACUCGGAAUUUUAUUGAGAUUAAUUUGAGCUCAUUGUUGCUAAUGCAUGUUUCUCUCUC